AGUAGUUUGAUCCUGGCUCAGGAUUAACGCUGGCGGUAUGCCUAACACAUGCAAGUCGAACGGAAUACUAAUUAAGAGAAUCUCACACUAGUGAGAGGUUCUCACGAGUAGUAUUUAGUGGCGGACGGGUGAGUAACACGUUGGAACCUGCCCCGAAGUGGGGAAUAACUGCUCGAAAGAGUAGCUAAUACCCCAUAGUAUCCGGUUUAUCCGGAUUAAAGAUUUAUCGCUUCGGGAGGGGCCUGCGUCUGAUUAGCUAGUUGGUGAGGUAAAAGCUCACCAAGGCGACGAUCAGUAGCUGGUUCGAGAGGAUGACCAGCCACACUGGGACUGAGAUACGGCCCAGACUCCUACGGGAGGCAGCAGUGAGGAAUCUUCCACAAUGGGCGCAAGCCUGAUGGAGCAAUACCGCGUGCAGGAAGACGCUUUUCGGAGUGUAAACUGCUUUUGUCGUCGAAGAUUAUGACUGUAGACGAAGAAUAAGGACCGGCUAACUACGUG
rnacentral:rRNA from 1 species